rnacentral:tRNA from 1 species
GCCUGGGUGGCUCAGUCAGUUGAGCGUCCAACUUUGGCUCGGGUCAUGAUCUCACAGCUCGUGGGUUUGAGUCCCGCGUCAGGCU